rnacentral:rRNA from 1 species
GACCUCAAAUCAGGUAAGAAUACCCGCUGAACUUAAGCAUAUCAAUAAGCGGAGGAAAAGAAAAUAACAAUGAUUCCCUCAGUAACGGCGAGCGAAGAGGGAUAAGCUCAAAUUUUAAAUCUGUUGGGUUUCACCUAACAGAGUUGUAUUUUGAAGAAACGUUUUCUGCGUCCAGGAUUAGCCUAAAUCCUUUGGGAUAAGGUAUCAUGGAGGGUGAGAAUCCCGUUCAUGGUUAAUCUUAAGGAUGCUCUACGAUACGUUCUCCAAGAGUCGAGUUGUUUGGGAUUGCAGCUCAAAAUGGGAGGUAAAUUUCUCCUAAGGCUAAAUAUUGGCGAGAGACCGAUAGCGAACAAGUACCGUGAGGGAAAGAUGAAAAGAACUUUGAAAAGAGAGUUAAACAGUACGUGAAAUUGUUGAAAGGGAAACGAUUGAAGUCAGUCAUACCAACGGGAAAUCAACCUCUUGAGUUUGGUCUCGUGGGUUUUGAAGAGUUUUUAAAAGCCUUCGGAUUUUCGAGAUUGGGUUCUUCUGGUGUACUUUCUCGUACGGUUAGUCAACAUCGGUUUUGAAUGUCAUAAAAUGACUGGAGGAAUGUGGCUUCGAUCUCGUAUUGAAGUGUUAUAGCCUUUGGUAGAUGUGAUGUUCGAGACCGAGGAUUGCAACGGAUACCCUUCUGGGCUAUUCGUCUGAUCUCUGAAACGUUGCCUUGAUGUCGAAAGCUUGCUUAUGAUGUUAGGGUAUUACGGUCAAAAGGUUAGAACGGAUUAAAUUCGUUAAGGAUGUUGACGUAAUGACUUUAAACGACCCGUCUUGAAACACGGACCAAGGAGUCUAACAUAUAUGCGAGUGUUUGGGUGAAUAAACCCUUGCGCGUAAUGAAAGUGAUUUUGGUGAGAUCCGGAUUAAUUUUUUUUUUCGGAGCAUCAUCGACCGAUCAGGAUAUUU